AUAUCCGAACGCAAUCAUUUUUGUAAUGGCAACACAGACUUAGACGCCUAGUGCCCAGCCUAGGUGCCCUGAUUCCGAAUCAAUUUUCUUCAGGACCGGGCGCGAGCUACACUGCUGCUACGUUGCUUCGAAGACCGACGCCUUGAGAAGGUAUAUCAAGCCGUUCGGAGCGUACGUGCGGAAGAAGAGAAGCACUUGAUUAGAUUGAGGCGUCAAAUAACCUCGGCCAGCCAUCGUGGCAUAUCCACGGCCAUCGAACCUGUACUCUUGAGGGCCAGACUGCGAGGAGAUCAAUUUAUCCCUGGGUUCUGUGGAGUUACCUGUCAACGAUGACUUGGUACCAGCGGUUGUCGGCAACCAUCUUGUCAAUGGAGACCCUCGCCGGAUCCUGGCCAGGUUCGGAGCUGUCCCCGAUGUCCAUCACUACAUACGGGUAUCCGUUCUGAAUGCCGAUCACCAUGUAGUCGUCCUAAAAAACGGUAGUGUGAAAUAUUAGAAAUUGUGUUGAAGUGUUGUGAGUGCGUUACAUGUGUGAGUGUGUGUUUUUAUGAUGUGCGCGUGUUACGAAGUGAGUGUGAGUUUGUGUGUUAUAUAGUGCCGGUUAUAUUUAGUGCGUGUACUCAUGAGUGCGUUAUAAGUUUAUUGUAUGCUGUAAUAUGGUACAAAUCAUUGUUAUGUUGUUAAUAGUGUAAGAAUAUUAUGAUUUUAAGACAUACCGAUUUGGUUCUCCUCAGCAUGGUUCCCUUAGGGUUGCCGAGGUACAGAAUGAAGCCAUCCUUUUCCUUUGUUCGGAAGUAUGCCGACACGUGCGUGGAGGUUGACAUCUCAUCGACCGUAUCCGGUAGGCGGGGUUGCAAUGUCGACCACCGAUCAAACGUCACUCCAACUUGAAUGCGAUUAGCUACCGUACGCGCCUGGGGUUAAGAGAGAAGCGUUAAUUUUGUAAUGAAAUUUCUUUUCGAAACUAGUCGGGGUAGGUGGGAAGGGUGAACUUACAAAAAUAAAUAAACAGAAUACAAAACCGCGUAAUCAUAUAUAUAAAUGUCUUAUCAUGAAAAUUACCGUGCAUCAUUAUUACAAAAUACGCGAUUUGUAAAUUAUUAUAGAUAAAAAAAUAUAGAAUGAAUAAAUCAACAAAAAGCUAGUCAAUUAACUUUUGGUCACCGUAUCACAAAUUCCGACUCAACAAAAUUAAUAUGUAAAUAAAAAAUUAUAAGUAAUUUCUAUUCGGUCGCGGUAAAACAAACUAAAUUCAAGAAUACGAUAUUCAUUAUAACUAAAAAAAUGUUACCUGCCUAUUUACUGAACUGAAAAAAAAACACAAGCCUAUUUAAUGAAUUGAAAUGAUUGGGUUAAACAAAUUUCUAAGAAACAGCGGAAGGAGGAAUUCUCUUAAGCAUAUUAGAGUAAAUCUCGUUUUGUCGGUAAAUCCAAUAGGGUCAAAGAAAACAUUUAAAUUGAAAAAAAGUAUGUAUGUGUAAUCACAGCAGAUAAACCAACAAACAAUAAGUGGUCGCGGUAGAGCAAACUAAAUUCGGAAUACGAUAUUCAUUAAAACAAAAAAAAAACACAAGCCUAUUUAUGAAUUGAAAUGAUUGGGUUAAACAAAUUUCUAAGAAACAGAAGAAGGAGGAAUCCUCUUAAGCAUAUUAGAGUAAAUCUCGUUUUGUCGGUAAAUCCAAUAUGGUCAAAGAAAACAUUUAAAUUGAAAAAAGUAUGUAUGUGUAAUCACAGUAGAUAAACCAACAAACAAUAAAUAAGUGGUCGCGGUAGAACAACCUAAAUUCAGAAUAUGUUAUUCCAUAAAGUUACAAAAAAAUGUUACCAGCCUAUUUACUGAAUUGGAAUUAAUGCGUUAAGUAAAUAUUUAAGAAACACGGAAAGGGGUGAUCCCCUUAGGCGUAUUAGAAUAAAUCUCAAUUUAUCGGUCAAUCCAAUAUGGUAAACAUGAAAAUAAAAAUUGAACAAAAAUAUGAUUGUGUAAUCACAGUAGAUAACCCAAUAAACAAUAAGUGGUCGUGGUAGAGCAAACUAAAUUCGUAAUAUGAUAUUCAUUAAAAUAAAAAAAAUGUUACUAGCCUAUUUACUGAAUUUGAAUUAAUUCGUUAAACAAAUAGCUAAGAAACAGAGGAAAGAGGAUCCUCUUAGGCAUAUUAGAAUAAUUCUCAUUUUGUUGGUCAAUCAUGGUCACUUUGAAAAAAUUUAAAAUUAAAAUUUAAAAUUGGUAUAACAAACUAAAUUCAGAAUACGUUAUUAAUUAAAACUAUAAAAAUGUUAUAUGCCUAUUUACUGAAUUGGAUUUAAUGGGUUUAACAAAUUUCUAAAAAACAGAGGAAGAGGGGAUCCUAUUAGGCAUAUUAGAGUAAUUCUCACUUUUUCAGUCAAUGCAAUAGGGUCAUUUUGAAAAAAAAAUAAAAAUAAUAAUAAUUAUGUUUGUGUAAUCACAAGUAGAUAAAUCAAAAAACGAUAAGUGGUCGCGGUGGAACAAACUAAAUUCGGAAUACGAUAUUCAUUAAAACUAAAAUGCUAAAAAUGCUACAUGCCUAUUUACUGAAAUGGAAUUAAUGCGUGAAAUAAAUAUCUAAGAAAUCGAGGAGGACCAUCUUAGUCAUA